UACGUAGGGGGCAAGCGUUGUCCGGAUUUAUUGGGCGUAAAGAGCUCGUAGGUGGUUUGUCGCGUUGUCCGUGAAAACUCACAACUCAAUUGUGGGCGUGCGGGCGAUACGGGCAGACUGGAGUACUGCAGGGGAGACUGGAAUUCCUGGUGUAGCGGUGGAAUGCGCAGAUAUCAGGAGGAACACCGGUGGCGAAGGCGGGUCUCUGGGCAGUAACUGACGCUGAGGCGCGAAAGCGUGGGGAGCAAACAGG
rnacentral:rRNA from 1 species